rnacentral:rRNA from 1 species
CCUAUUUUCACUGGCGGCAUUUCAUCUUAUUAGAGGAACCUGUUUAAUAAUCGAUAAUCCACGAUAAUUUUUACUUUGAUUAAAAGUUUAUAUACCGCCAUCUAAAAAAUUAAUUUAAUAAUAUUACUUUCAAUAAAAUAUAAAAAGUUAGGUCAAGGUGUAAUCUAUAUUAAAGUUCAAAAUGGGUUAUAUUAAAAACAACUUAAGGAUAAAUUUUUUUUAAAAAAUUUUUAAAAAAGAUUUAAAAGUAAUAUUUUAUUAAUAAUAAUUCAUUAUGAAUAAG